rnacentral:rRNA from 1 species
UACGUAGGGUGCAAGCGUUGUCCGGAAUUAUUGGGCGUAAAGAGCUCGUAGGCGGUUUGUCGCGUCGAAUGUGAAAACCCGGGGCUCAACCCCGGGCCUGCAUUCGAUACGGGCAGACUAGAGUUCGGUAGGGGAGUCUGGAAUUCCUGGUGUAGCGGUGAAAUGCGCAGAUAUCAGGAGGAACACCGGCGGCGAAGGCGGGUCUCUGGGCAGUAACUGACGCUGAGGAGCGAAAGCGUGGGUAGCAAACAGG